ensembl:snRNA U6 U6 spliceosomal RNA
GAGCUCACUUUGGCAGCACAUAGUCCAAAACCGGAACGAUACAGAGAAGAUCCACGUGGUCCUUGCCCAACGAUGAUCCAAUCGGCAUAACUCAAUUUC